GACGAACGCUGGCGGCGUGCCUAAUACAUGCAAGUUGAGCGAUGAAGAUUGGUGCUUGCACCAAUUUGAAGAGCAGCGAACGGGUAAGUAACGCGUGGGGAAUCUGCCUUUGAGCGGGGGACAACAUUUGGAAACGAAUGCUAAUACCGCAUAACAACUUUAAACAUAAGUUUUAAGUUUGAAAGAUGCAAUUGCAUCACUCAAAGAUGAUCCCGCGUUGUAUUAGCUAGUUGGUGAGGUAAAGGCUCACCAAGGCGAUGAUACAUAGCCGACCUGAGAGGGUGAUCGGCCACAUUGGGACUGAGACACGGCCCAAACUCCUACGGGAGGCAGCAGUAGGGAAGCUUCGGCAAUGGACGAAAGUCUGACCGAGCAACGCCGCGUGAGUGAAGAAGGUUUUCGGAUCGUAAAACUCUGUUGGUAGAGAAGAACGUUGGUGAGAGUGGAAAGCUCAUCAAGUGACGGUAACUACCCAGAAAGGGACGGCUAACUACGUG
rnacentral:rRNA from 1 species